rnacentral:lncRNA from 1 species
UUUUUUGUGACACACUGAAGAGACACUCAGUACAAGAGAGUUUAAGGUUGAGUCCAGCUGUGUGAACCUACUGAUGAAGCUCUCCUGUCUCUAUCACAGCACCUCACUCUAGCCCGUUAUUUUGUGGCACCAUGGCUGGAAAUUUCACAGGGAACUGUUUAUGUAACUUGUUUGGUGCUAGCAUUUUCCUGGCAGGAUGCACCAUUCUCCUUGUAACUGCCUUCCCAGUUGUUCAGAUCAUUAUAGGAGCAAUAUACAUGUAUGAGUGUCCAGUAGCACCAGUUAUCCCAGUAUAUGUGAUGGUUUCUGGGAUAUGGGCUCUGCUGAUUAUGGCCCUGUUUGCUCUGCCAAAGCUCCUCUGUCAAGCAGCACCAGGUCACACCGUCUGGCCCGGGUGGAUCGUCAUCCUGGUCCUCUUCUUUUUCAUGUGGUUACUCUAUGGUAGUUACCAGAUUUACUCUAUAUAUCCACCUAAUUAUGAGAAGAACACAACCUCUUCCAGUGCUCUCACUACACCUGCACAAGAAAAACAGAGCCUUCCAAACCUCAACCACACUUGGAUGAUUAGAAACAACUGGAAAAUUCAAACUAUGGCUCUCAAUAACACGGACACAUCGCACUUGAACAUUCCACAUGCAUCUCUAGUCAUGGCUGCAGAGCCUUACUGUCACAGAGGUGUGUACAUGUUGGCUUUCUGGACCACCACAUUGGUCUAUGUGUUUGCAGGAAACGCCCUGGUUAUGAUCAUCUGUCUUUAUGGUGCUAUGGAGUGUACACAUAAGUGUGUAGAAUAUCUCACUACCUGAACUGAACUCUCUGUGUGUUCAAAAAAUGUAAGUUCUCAAUGGACAACUCUAUUUUGCAUUGCAGGAGUGAAGUCAGAUAUAAGUAUAAACAGACACAUGCAAUUUAAAAUUCUGAUUAUGUUCAUUUGAUCUUUCAUGAUUUGUAUUAUUUGAAUGUGAAAAUUAGGUUAGCGCUAAAGGAGCCUUCACCCCUGUAAAUAUUACAUUUACAUUACAUUACAAUUUGACAUCUUUUAAACUCACUUGUACUGGAUGUGUCUUCAGUGUGUCACAAAAAAGAUGUUAAAGAAAGUCAUUACAACACAUCCUCUGUUGGCAUAACAUCCCAUUAUGACUGCAUAACCACCAUUAAGUUAGUUAUUUAUUGCAAUACAGACAGUUACACAACAGUAAUGAAGUGAGGAAGGGCAGUGCUGUAUUAUGUGCACUGUGUCAUACUGUGCAACGCACGGUUAGUAAGAUAAGAUAAGAUAAGAUAAUCCUUUAUUAGUCUUUUAUUUACUUCAUUAAGAAGACAAGAAUAUAUAGAAAAUAGAUAAAUGGAACAAACACAAGGUGAAUGAAUGCUUGAGUAAAUCCCAGAAUAAAGUGACUUGAGUACUAAACUGUUAUUGCA